AAUAUGUUCCAUGGUAAAGCUCGUUGUUCAAGACAGGUGCUACAUAGGGAAGGACCAUAGCCAGGGAACAAAAGAUUGAAAGGAUGAUGGUCAGUGAUCAAUAAGGCCAAAGCCCACCUUUUUAACA
rnacentral:lncRNA from 1 species